GGAAGGAAGGCACACCGGCAGCCUGAGGCGGCAGCGGCUUCAGCGAGGGCUCGUCCUUGGGGAAGGAGCCCCUCCGUACCGGGGCAGGACGGGGGGCCCCGUCAACGCCGCCAGGAAGCGACCCGGGAGGCGCCACCAGACUGCUCUGAGUUGUUAUGAAGGAGAAGUUGGUGUACAGAAGUUGGUGUCAGAAUAAACAUGAUAAAUAAAAAAUCAUUCUUUGCCAUAAAAUGUGUUCUAGGAAUCCUGCUAGCAUUCAUGGGAAUGACAUCAAAGUAAGCAGUAGAGCUGCUUGGAAAAUGGAGACAGUUUCUCUGGGGAAAUAAUGCUGCACUGGAAAAACAUGAAUAUUGUUGUCCAGGUGCUUGUGUCCAAAGCUAAGUGGCAAAAAGGCCUUGGAUAUUAUACCAAAAAUAGCUUCUCAUAUUUUUCACAGAAGAACAAGCAAUAUCUGGCACUGGCAACCCUGGCCAAAACUUCUGCUGAUCUCCCGUGGCUGAGAGCCCUCACUCUUCAUGGGUUGACCGUGGUCACAAAGAAGAUUGGUCUCUCUCUGUACGUUACUGCUCUGUGUCACCUUCGGCUGUUCCAGUAAGAUGAUGUGCCUUUGUGCUCAAGUUCAUAAAGCCUGGAGUAAAGAACUGAAAUCCUGAGGCAGCAGAUAAACACCCAGAGAGGGCCCUGGGGCAUUCCACAGUAAUCCAUAGCUGGAGUCAGAGCUGCCCAGACACCAGAGGACACCUGUCGAUGCGUGCAGCCUCUCCAGCCCGGCUGCUGCCUGCGCUCCCUUUGGAGUCAAGCGCCACCUCACCCUUCCUUGCAGUGCAGCAUAUAGAAGAUGUCUCUUGACCCUCCCUGGCCUGGAAGACCACAGGACUCCAUAAAAACAGCAGUGAGUCAAUCUCAGAUGCAGAAUUAAGUAAUUGGCAGUGAGAAUAGGUAGUGCUGAUGUAGAAGGAGGGAUGUUCUCUCAAUCACACCCUUCAUCUUGCUUGUCUAUACUUACUGAGUAUUGAUCUUGUGAGAAUCCAUCUAUUUCCCAUGGGAUAUUAUAUUCCCUAUUUCUCAUACUGCUUCUAAUAUUCCAUUAUUAAAGCAUAUUAAAAUAUUUUAUUUCUGAAAUAUUUUAGUCAUUGAAGUCUUGCCUUUGAGCUGUUUAAGUUGGCUGAAGGGGCAGCUGAAGUAACCUACGUGCAAUUAAAUAGUUAACAUAGUUCAUACCAUAAGACAAAUAUCAAAAGAUCUUACAUUUUUUCCUAUUCUACCUGGAUGGAAGAAGGAUUUUUGUAAUGCUUUCAGAGAGGAAUGCUAGAAAACAUGUUGAGAACCCAAAGAAUAUUGACAGUGAUAAAAUAUCAUUCCUAAUAACAAUAACCAAAAGACAAUUACUGUAUAUGUUCCCCUAUCUGUGAAUCAGAGCAGCUAAAUGAUGCACAAUAUGUCUUAGGCUAUUAACAGGUAUUCUCUUUACCACAACUAAUUAAUUAGGAGAAUUACAUUCUAAGUAAGGGGAGCUGAGAUUUGUUACUUUGUUGUUUCUGUAAAGUUAUAGGCAACAGUAAAUCUAUGAUAGCUGUGAGGUUGUUGUUUUUAUUACAAUAUUUAUAUCUCUUAUUACUUUUUAAAUCUGUGAUGGCAUAAAAAAUCGUAAAUGCCUCUAGAAGGACUCACAUUAUAAAUAUGUAAUGACAUUCUAGACAUUUUGGUUUCCAAGUAACUUCUCUAUUUUUGCUCCUCUUUAAUUUCUUUUGCUUCCUUUACAAUGAGCAACAUUUUAGCAACACAGAGAAGGAAACAUGCAAAAAGUACUUCAAUUUGAACAGAGGCAAAACACAAGGAUUUUAUGUGACUCAGUGAAGCCUCUUUCCAUAUCAAAUCUUUGACUCUGUUACUCUCUAAAAGAAAAGUCUGCUCCUUGAAACUGGAAGAAUUAGGUGAUGUGAACAUGGAUGAGCUGAUCGACACAAGCAAGUUGUGCGAUUUUGUACAGAGAAAAAUAAAAUUGACGACAGCACUUUAGUAUCUGCAUUGACCUCCAUGAUGUCAGAAUGUCAUUGUGCAACCGUAGCUAAGAAAAGCCGCCGAGAAAAAAAAAAAACAAAGGAGCUUUGCGUCUUCCAAUAACAUGAGAUGUGCAUAUACAAAAGCACAGCAAUUGCAUCCAGGAUUUAAUAUGUGCGACGUGAAAUCUUUCUGCAUCGAGAGGAUGUUGCUGUAGUGGAUGCAGUGUUUCUCCAAUGAGCAAGAAGACUGUUUUGUUUUCCUCGGCAGGCGACUCAGCCAUUGCACAAGGAGAUUUUGAUAAGAGUUUGAAAUGCCUACCACUGUAUCGUUGUAGAAUUUGGAGUUUGCUAACGGUGUUAGUGACUGGAGCUCAUCUUGCAUCACCAGUUGAUGACAAUUUUCUUUGUUCCCUCCCACCCAGUUGAACCAAGACUCUGUAGCAGAUACGCAAUGUCACUUACAACAUUAAUCAGAUACUGCAUUUAAGGUGAGCUGUCCCCUGCCUCCUCCCUUACCAGAGCUGUGCUGCAGUAUGUAUCUUACUCCUGCAAGCCUAAAAUGGCAGGCAGGAUUAACGUUGCUUGUGCUGUGUGCAUGCUGUGUAUUGAAUUCAUUAUACUGUGCCUAGUAUCUCAAAUGUGAGUAUGUAAAUGGUCUGUGUGCCAUGUCAUGCAGUAGUGAAGACUGGUUUGUGCUUGUACAGGCUUAGAUAUUUGAGCAUCACCUUAAAAAUUCUUUUUUCAUUUGCAAUGUGGUGAGCUGUUAGCUUGUCAUCACAUGCAAACUACAUUAUUAGCCCUCGGAAAGGAAAAAAAAAAGCAAACUGUGCUUCCAGAUGGUGUCACCCUUUUUCUUCUUGCAUUUACUGUAGUUUAAAUAAUGUAUAUUGUAUUGUUAAUUAAUGUGAAUAUCGAAUUAAAGCACUUGAAACUUACAUAUUUAUUAUGCAGGUAGGAGGCACGUCGAAUCUAUUUUUAACUCUUACGCAGUCCAUGUUGUGCAAUGGGCUUUGGUUGUCGAGUUUAUAUUUUCAGCUGUGAUAUCAAUAGGUUGAUUUUCAGUAAAUGUGACAAGUGGCCUUUGCAGUGGUCAGCUUCAAGCUUUGAAGCCUCUGAGGAGGAGAAAAAAAAAAAAAGCCAACCUUGUUUUGCAGUUUCGGAAAACCUUGGACUUUUUUUUCCCACUCCUGCUUUCCCUGUUGAUAAACUCAGUUCUCCUGCUCACGGUCUAUUCAAGCUGCUUCCCAUUUGAAUUUUGACAACUGCUUCUAAAAAAUUAUCAAGAAGAGCAAGAUCAGAACUUAUCUCCAUCGCUUUACAUAAAAAUGGCUGGGUGCAUUGCCAUGUUAACACUGCUCUAAGUGGUACAUGCAGGUAGGUUGAGAUUUGCAUGUUUUACUGUUUUCUUGGUCAGUGUUGCAAGAACAUGAAAUGAGCUUUGGAAUGUAGCUUUCAGUUUUAAAAUGUACUAAACUGUUAAUGAAAACAACCUAUAUUAAAUUGUUGGCUUCACAUAUUGGUAUGACAAUUACUCUUAUCUGGGUUUUUUUUUAAUCUGUUGUGAAAGUGGAGCAAUCAUGCCUGUUAAAAUAAUCAUAUGUACUAAGGGCGUGGCAACGCUUAUGCAACAAAAGAAUUUUUGAAAACCCUAUUGAUUCCAUUACAUUUUAAAGCUGACUGUAACCAUUACUAAACUUGCAGCUGAAAGGCAGAAAUAAAAAUUGAGGAAGAUUAGAAAAAAGAAAAAUAUUUAAAUUCUGUCGUAAGCGGUUUUGUGUUUUGUGCGAAAUAUUAAAUAAAGAAUAAUAUGCUUUAAUGCUUAUAUUUUCAGUAUUGGCUACAAACAUAAAACUGCAGUAUUUUUUGUUAUUUAAAGGUAGGAGAACUUUAAAGAGAGAGAUUGAUAUAAAUGGCCCUGUCAGCUUAAACUGAGUAUCAGUUCACUGAAAUGUGUUUUACUUCACACAAAAAAAACUUAACAGCCUUAGUACAAAAACCUGAAUUUGAGCAUAAGGAAUAACAAUAAUUAUGAGUACUGUAUUACUUACACUAACUUUUAUAAUAAAUUUCUUUCAGAUUAAUAUUGGGCCAGAACCAGUUUCCUUGGCAACCAAAUCCUUUAGAAAGGUUCAAUUGUAGAGAUGUAGAAAGAUGUUGUUCUCUUUAACAGCAAUAUCACAAUGCAAAUGGAAAUGUCACGGUAGUUUCCUCUUAGUUCUAACUGAGAAUGUGAUCUCACUUUAUGUUUCCAUGUGGCUAUCAGUUCUUAAACGAUGCCAUGUUUAUAAAGCUGUACACACAAAAACCUGUUUUAUUUCUGGUUUGCAUUCGUUGUUCCCAGAAACGUACCCUGGUUUCUUUUUUAAUUUAGCCCAGUCUUGCAUGUAGGUCAAGGUUUGUACUGUGUGUAAUAGUUUUAUUAUCAUCACAAGUAUAAAAAUAUCACAAAAACAUUUAGCAGCUGACAAAUGUAGAGAAUCAGAAGGUUUAAACCUUCUUUAAACUUUGCUGAAUUCGGCCACAGUAAUGCUAAUAAACCUUUCUCUAAAUAGUGGACCCAUUCUGAAGUUCAGGUAAAGAACUGUGUUUAAGCAUACUGCAAAAGAACUCCUUUCAGACCUUAAACAAGCCUUUAGAGAAUAAGCUCACUUGUGGUCUGCGGUAAUUUGCAGACCUUAUAGAUUUGGCAAAAUUUUAGUAUUAUAAUUUUUUUUCUAUUUUUAGCUAAUAUGUUUUACAGUGCCAGUAAAGUUAAUGUAUACCACAGGUAACUACCUCCACAGGUCAGGUGUUACUGAAUGUCUCCACUGAGCUUACAACGUAGUGUAGCUUCUCCUCGCUGCCCUUUGUACGUGACUUGAGAAAUUCUCACUACUGCAAUGAGACUUUUGCAGCAGGGAAGCCAUUUUCCUUUCAUGUCCUUGACUUUAAAAUGACUGAGUAUAUUUUGUGUGGAAGAAGACUCAGCACUGAAAGUGAAUGCAGAGGAGGAAUUUAGAAGCACAGCCAAUUAUCAGUAAUAGCCUUGACAGUAUGAGUAAUAUUAAACUAAUUCUCGUUUACUUCUAAAUAUACCAGUUCAGUGCAUUCCGAAUGAGCAGAGUAUAACUGCUCAGGAAUAUGACUUGUCAUGUGUUGUAAUAGGCAAAUCCUUAAUGAUGACAAUAAAACCAUUUGAUGCAUAAUUAUAAGAAAAAUUUAGUGCACUCCAGUAUUCCUCUGUUCCACCUAAAGCAGCAGAACUGAAAAUGUAACACAGAGCAUAUCUCAAGUGACGUAUUAAAGCCUGCAUUUUUUGUAAUUUGAUUUCUCUCCAGUAGCUUGCGUCUGCUGAUUAUUUUCCUGACUAAAAUGUUAAUAUGGAGGGAACCAUUAAAUGAAGUAAGAAAGUACAUUUCUUUGUUUAUUUCUUGUGUGGUUAUUUUUAAAGGAAAUGCCAAGCAAAUGAUAUGUCGAAUCUAUUUAUUGCCUCUGAUACUUAUCUUUAGAAAAGAUGGGGCACUUAGCAAUAAACUGUUUUAUUAUAUCUUUGUGUUUAAACAUGCCCACUCAAGGCAUUUUUUAAAAGUAGCUCCAUUACACGAGCACAUUUCCCUAUGGUUGUUUUAAAUCCAUUUGCAGAUUUGCUCUUUGUUAAGGGGUGCAAGUCUUCUUGUAAUGAAUAUGACUGAACUCAAGUGCUUUUUUGAGUCUGAAAAAACUCAUUGGCAGCCUGCAAAUGUUAAUUUCUUCUACCGAAAGAAAUGAAUUUCUUUAUUUAGGAGGAGUCCAGUAAUUAGCAAGCUGUUUCCAGUUUGACUGUCACACGUGGCUUGCUGUAUGUAUUUCAGUGGUACUUACAUCCAGCUAAUGCAGGGUGUCACAAUGUUGGAGCCAGAGGUGCCAUAAAAAAAUCUUCUGUAAACUUCAUCCCUUUUUUUCCUUUGGCUGAGGGGUCUAACCAGGGCAUGGAGGAGCAGGUGCAGUUUUUCCCACCUCCAGCACAGCCUGCAAAUGUCAGGGGGGGCUGUUAAGGUUUUGGGGUUUAUUUUGUUGUGGGUUGGGGUGGAGUGGGUCAGUUUUAUCAUAGAAGUCUAAUUGUUGAUACUGAACCAGCCUUUUUUUUUAAUUGGAAUUGGUUCUUUUAUCCAUGCAAAUUCCAUUUCUGCCUAACAGAAAAUCUAAACAAAGCAUGAGUAAAAAUUAAAUCAAACCAAAAAAUUAUUCACUUGGACACCGUUCUACUUGUUUUUCAAUGGUCUUUCUAAUUAAAGUUACUUCUGCCUCUAAACUUCAUUUUGAUUUGAAACUGCAGGUCUCUCAGUGGGAAAUUAGCUGUGUUCAGAUAAUAUUUGUCAGACUAUUAAACAGAUUCUGGUAGUAAUGAAUAGGUACCAAUUAACCCUUUUGAGGUAUCUAGUGUCUGUUUUGCUUUAUCACAUAAAUUGCUUUACUAAGUAUUAAAAGGGCUUUAUUAUGGAUGAUACUGUACUUGAAUUCCAGUAUUACCAAAUUUCGGAAAUCUUUAGUUUUGGUAAGAUCUUUUACUAUUGGAUUCCUCCAAACAUGAGGAAUUCCUCCAAAGAUUCCCAUUUAUCAUAUUUUGGUCAUUUAUAAAUAUGCCUUUAUUGGAAUGUGAGUAAUAAUAAUGACUUCUUGCAAUUUUCUUUCAUUCUGGCCUUUGUUAAGGGCAGAUGUGAGCUACAGAUUUCUUAUUCAAAUUAACAUAGACUAAAACCCUACAAGGCUAUACCAAAACAACAAAAAUUAGCUCACCUUCUUACCUUUUCAAGCUAAAGUAAGGGAUCCUGUAUUUCCUGUGCAAUGUUAUUGCUAAGAGCAAUAUUUAGAAAUGGAGGAUGGAGCUGUGUAUUCCUAAUUGCUGCUCCAUGCUUGCUGCUGUAUGAAUGCCUAUCAGCUGAGUCAUAAGGCCUUAUCUGCAUGAUUUUGCAAUUUCUCUAUGGAACAAUUUCAUUUUUUUCAGUAUCUCCGAAACAAAACCCGGUUCCGCAUAAUUUUUGUACUGUUACAGGAAAACCUUUUUAGGGUGUUUGAUACAUAAUAAUAAAAUUAGGAUGUUUGACAGUGAUGAAUAAUCGCUUAAGCAGAGAAAUACAGGAAGUGUAUUCCAGAGAACAAGAGCUGCCUAGAAAUGUCAUUAUCACAGAUACUGUGAUGAUAUCUGUGACAAGAGAGAUCAAAAGAAAAGUGGUGGAAGAUAAAGAGGAGAAAGAAAAUGUCUUUCAAAAUAAUUACUUUAAACUUGAAAACAUCCUUACAUUUAUGUCUAGAACAUAUCAUUAUGUCCAGUCUGCACUACACAGGUUAAAUCAUAAUAAAACAAUUCAGCAGAAGUUUGGUUAAUGCUACUGGUUUAUUGCUGGCAUGUUCUAAAAUUCCCAGAUGUAGAUUUGGAGCCCUACAGCACCCCAGGGAAAAUUUUGAUGAAUUACGCAAUGUAUGUGGAA